AGGACGGUGGUCAUGGAAGUCGAAAUCCGCUAAGGAGUGUGUAACAACUCACCUGCCGAAUCAACUAGCCCCGAUAAUGGAUGGCGCUUAAGCGCGCGACCUAUACCCGGCCGUCGGGGCAAGAGCCAGGCCCCGAUGAGUAGGAGGGC
rnacentral:ncRNA from 1 species